rnacentral:rRNA from 1 species
GGCUGGGGGGGAAAGAAAAUUGCAAGAUCGAGCGGAGGAGAGGUAGCUUGCUACUGAUCUUAGCGGCGGACGGGUGAGUAAUGCUUAGGAAUCUGCCUAUUAGUGGGGGACAACAUUUCGAAAGGAAUGCUAAUACCGCAUACGUCCUACGGGAGAAAGCAGGGGAUCUUCGGACCUUGCGCUAAUAGAUGAGCCUAAGUCGGAUUAGCUAGUUGGUGGGGUAAAGGCCUACCAAGGCGACGAUCUGUAGCGGGUCUGAGAGGAUGAUCCGCCACACUGGGACUGAGACACGGCCCAGACUCCUACGGGAGGCAGCAGUGGGGAAUAUUGGACAAUGGGCGCAAGCCUGAUCCAGCCAUGCCGCGUGUGUGAAGAAGGCCUUAUGGUUGUAAAGCACUUUAAGCGAGGAGGAGGCUACUUUAGUUAAUACCUAGAGAUAGUGGACGUUACUCGCAGAAUAAGCACCGGCUAACUCUGUGCCAGCAGCCGCGGUAAUACAGAGGGUGCAAGCGUUAAUCGGAUUUACUGGGCGUAAAGCGCGCGUAGGCGGCUAAUUAAGUCAAAUGUGAAAUCCCCGAGCUUAACUUGGGAAUUGCAUUCGAUACUGGUUAGCUAGAGUGUGGGAGAGGAUGGUAGAAUUCCAGGUGUAGCGGUGAAAUGCGUAGAGAUCUGGAGGAAUACCGAUGGCGAAGGCAGCCAUCUGGCCUAACACUGACGCUGAGGUGCGAAAGCAUGGGGAGCAAACAGGAUUAGAUACCCUGGUAGUCCAUGCCGUAAACGAUGUCUACUAGCCGUUGGGGCCUUUGAGGCUUUAGUGGCGCAGCUAACGCGAUAAGUAGACCGCCUGGGGAGUACGGUCGCAAGACUAAGACUCGAAUGAAUUGACGGGGGCCCGCACAACCGCUGGAGCAUGUUGUUUUAAUUCGAUGCAACGCGAAGAACCUUACCUGGCCUUGAAAUAGUAAGAACUUUCCAAAGAUGGAUUGGUGCCUUCCGGGAACUUACAUACCGGUGCUGCAUGGGUUUAAACAAAACGGGCCCCCGAAAGUUGGGGUAAGUCCCCCAACGAGGGGAACCUUUUUCUUAUUUGCCACCAGUAAUUUCGGGGACUUUUAUGGAACCGGCCGGCCCCAAACUGGCGGAAGGGGGGGACAAGGCCAGGUUUUUAUGC